GGAGAAAUGGCCGAGUGGUCUAAGGCGCACGCCUGGAAAGUGUGUAUACUUCAAAAGGGUAUCGAGGGUUCGAAUCCCUCUUUCUCCGCAA
rnacentral:tRNA from 2 species